rnacentral:snRNA from 1 species
AGACAGGAGGGCGAUCUGGCUGCGACAUUUGUCGUCCCACUGAUCGCCAGGGUUGAUUCAGCUGGUCUGGCUGGCUAGGCGGGUGUCCCCUUCCUCCCUCACCGCUCCAUGUGUGUCCCUCCCGAAGCUGCAUGCUCCACUGAAGAGGACGACCUUCCCCAAAUAGAGGAGGACCCAUCUUCGGUCAAGGGUACAUGAGUAGCUACGCUCCCCUGCUAGAACCUCCAAACGAGCUCUCAAGAAAGACACUACCUGAAGCGAGUCCAUCAGGAUAUGCAAGAGUAAUCCUGGUAAAUAAGUAACAGAAGAUACAAGACAGGUGCUACGGGAGAAGAACCUG